AACCAUAGAAACCUGCGGAGUACCUGCGGCGGGAUCAUUACAGAGUUGCAAAACUCCCACAAACCAUCGCGAAUCUUACCCGUACGGUUGCCUCGGCGCUGGCGGUCCGGAAGGCCCUCGGGCCCCCGGACCCUCGGGUCCCCCGCUCGCGGGGGGCUGCCCGCCGGAGUGCCGAAACCAAACUCUUGAUAUUUUAUGUCUCUCUGAGUAAACUUUUAAAUAAGUCAAAACUUUUAACAA
rnacentral:misc_RNA from 1 species